rnacentral:rRNA from 1 species
CCAGACUCCUACGGGAGGCAGCAGUGGGGAAUAUUGCACAAUGGGCGCAAGCCUGAUGCAGCCAUGCCGCGUGUAUGAAGAAGGCCUUCGGGUUGUAAAGUACUUUCAGUCGGGAGGAAGGUGGUAAGGUUAAUAACCUUAUCAAUUGACAUUACCGACAGAAGAAGCACCGGCUAACUCCGUGCCAGCAGCCGCGGUAAUACGGAGGGUGCAAGCGUUAAUCGGAAUUACUGGGCGUAAAGCGCACGCAGGCGGUCUGUCAAGUCGGAUGUGAAAUCCCCGGGCUCAACCUGGGAACUGCAUUCGAAACUGGCAGGCUGGAGUCUUGUAGAGGGGGGUAGAAUUCCAGGUGUAGCGGUGAAAUGCGUAGAGAUCUGGAGGAAUACCGGUGGCGAAGGCGGCCCCCUGGACAAAGACUGACGCUCAGGUGCGAAAGCGUGGGGAGCAAACAGGAUUAGAUACCCCCGUAAG